rnacentral:rRNA from 1 species
GACUACGGCCAUGUCACCCUGAACGUGCCCUAUCUCAUCUGAUCUCGGAAGCUAAGCAGAGUUGGGCUUGGUUAGUACUUGGAUAGGAGACCACCUAGGAAUACCAGGUGCUGUAGGCG